GAAGUAAAAGUCGUAACAAGGUUUCCGUAGGUGAACCUGCGGAAGGAUCAUUAUUGAAUUAUGUUUUCUAGAUGGGUUGUAGCUGGCUCUUCGGAGUAUGUGCACGCCUGUCUGGACUUCAUUUUCAUCCACCUGUGCACCUUUUGUAGUCUUUUUCAGGUAUUGGAGGAAGUGGUCAGCCUAUCAGCUCUUUGCUGGAUGUAAGGACUUGCAGUGUGAAAACAGUGCUGUCCUUUACCUUGGCCAUGGAAUCUUUUUCCUGUUAGAGUCUAUGUUAUUCAUUAUACUCUUAGAAUGUCAUUGAAUGUCUUUACAUGGGCUAUGCCUAUGAAAAUUAUUAUACAACUUUCAGCAACGGAUCUCUUGGCUCUCGCAUCGAUGAAGAACGCAGCGAAAUGCGAUAAGUAAUGUGAAUUGCAGAAUUCAGUGAAUCAUCGAAUCUUUGAACGCAUCUUGCGCUCCUUGGUAUUCCGAGGAGCAUGCCUGUUUGAGUGUCAUUAUAUUCUCAACUCUCCAAUACUUUGUUGUAAAGGAGAGCUUGGAUUGUGGAGGUUUGCUGGCUCCUUACUUGGGGUCAGCUCCUCUGAAAUGCAUUAGCGGAAUCGUCUGCGAUCUGCCACAAGUGUGAUAACUUAUCUACACUGGCGAGGGGAUUGCUUUCUGAUGUUCAGCUUCUAAUCGUCUAAGGACAAUUUCUUGAAUGCUUGACCUCAAAUCAGGUAGGACUACCCGCUGAACUUAAGCAUAU
rnacentral:rRNA from 1 species